ensembl:lncRNA
AAAACAGAGUGUAGUCAAUCUGUGCAAGCAAUAUAUCUGAGAGCAAGUUAGAGCAGAAGCGUAGCAAAUGAGUGCAAGCUGGGGUUAUUUUAGUGCAAAGCAGGGUUAGGAGCGAAAACCAAAACUCAACGUGAAGUCAACGAGUCUUGCUCUGAAACUGAAAGACCACACUUUCAAACAAAGACGAAGGAAAAAAAGCCCAAUGACAAUUUCAGCUCAAAUGCCAUCGCAAAGAUCACCUCACUUACUUCCCCCCCAAAUGGUGCAGAGUUCUUGGUGUCUGACAUAUCUAGUUUUUGGGACUUAUGGGGACAGAUGGAGGAAUCGGUUCUCAUUGCCCCCCUUCCUCGCUUCAGCUUUCGUCCCCUGGGAGGACUCACAUUUCCCUCAACGCAGAGGUGUUUUCAAAUUAAAUACUAUCUAAUGAACUGGAAAACCGGCACCCACCCUGCUGUGUGUGUGUGUAUUUGUGGAGUAUGUGUUGGGGAAGUGCUGGUGAGCACGAUGAGAAGAUAAGGAGAGAGACAGAGUGAGAGAUUAAAAGAGAGAGGUAUUUGCAUAGCAAUCCAGUGAUUGCAGAGGCUGUGUGUGGCGUCAUGAAGCGUGUGUUCGUUAAUUGUAUAUCUCUGCAGUUCUAAUUGCUUUAAUUCCCUGUAAUUAAUCAGUAAUUGCAGUGAGGAGCCACGCAAAGAACUUUUCAAUAUGGAGUACAUAAAUAUAGAUGAGAGGAAACCUACGAAGAUUAUUUGGAAAUAGACCAAGGGACAUAGACACAGAGAGAGAGAAGCAAAUAAGAAAUAAAGAAAGUUCAAGCCUAGUAGGUAUUCUCUGAAAGGCCUGAAGAACUGCGUAAGUAAAUCCCCACAACUCACCUUAACCUAAGGUCACCUAACGCAUCGACACUCAAAAGUUCACAUCUCCUCUUUGAGAUUUGGGGCUUUAUAUGUUCCUGUGUCACAAUGUUUUACCUGUUCAGAAGUGUUGGGCGUGAUGUUUCUAUGUGCGCACACAGGACGGCAGCUGAUUCCAGGGGGAGCCCUGUCCCACCAGAGAGAAUCAAUCCUUCCCACUCACCAUACGGCUGGAAGGUAAUCCCCUCCCCUCCCCUCUCUCUCUCUCUCUCUCUCUCUCUCUCACUGUACCAUCCUCCUGCGCUCACUUCAUACCUCUCCCUUCCCCCAUCAUUAAUUCCCAAUUAAGACAGCAGCCCACCCACACACCUCCUUCCAGCGCAUAAUGCACAUAAAUGCUUUUUUCUGGUCAGUCUUUUAAUUUACAAAGGUUUGAGCUGAGGCCAGCAAACUCACUGAUCUGUGUAAAGGUCCGCGUGCGCGUUUUUGGUGCGUAUGUUGUAUAAUGAUCGCUUCUCUGUUCCUCUCCCGAACGCUGGAUGAAAGCGAACCUUUGUCAUUCUUGAUCGUUCUUUAAAUGAGAGUUGGCGGCUGGUCUUCGUGACCUGCUGCGGCCCUCCCUCCUCCUCUGCCUCCUAUCUGUCCCCUCACACUUCCCCACCAACCCUGUGCCUCACAAAUAGCCUUAGCUCCCUCGUAACAAGCUGGGUUCUCAUAGAUCUCCAUCAAUUUGUGUCACACCAGGGAUUCCCUGAACAAAGUUGCCUUUGCCCACAACAGCUAUGCAUUAUUAAGGCUGUAAAAAACAGCCCGGAAAAGCGGCUGCGUGAUCCUGGGUUACAGAUACAAGGACGAGCGAGAAACAGGCAAAGCAGCAGAACAUAAGACAGAGGGUGGAAGAGAAAGGCUAAUGAUAAAAGGUCCUCAUUUUAAAUGCCAACGUGCAUUCCUCGGGUAUCUUGGUGGAUUUGACUGCUAAGUGGACCUCCAUACUGUACAUUUAUUUAAAAGAUUUCACAGGAACCGUCGCAGCAGUGACUCACAGUAGCAUGUGGGACUCGCAUCUAUCUCCAAAAUGUAAUAGAAAUAAAAUGCGGCACGUCAAAAAGCCCCCGGAAUAAACAUAAACAUUCACCUCCUGUGACCCUUCAAACAGUACGCUGCUCACAGCUACAGCGGCGAGUACGCUGUGACCGACACAUACGCCGGGAUUCAUCGUGUGUCCAGAAAGGGCAAUAGACACACAGCCAUGCCGUGUAGCGCAAUAACUUACUCAGGACAACAGUUCACCUUUAAAUAUAUAUUUUAGAAAUCUGACAUGAUUCACGAGCAGGAGCAGCAUUCUGUGGCACGAUUACAGACUGGACCAUCAGGCUCUAAUUUGGGAUUUAAUUAAAGGAAGUCAACAUGAAGAAACUGCACUGUCAAAAAAUGGGAAAUGAUGUUAACCCAGAGUAUGCUUCAUUAAGUGUUUAGCCGCUUAUGAGUCUCAUUUAACUCCUGUGCUGAAAGGUCACCAACCUCAACAAUGGUCCAUUUGACCAUGAAAUAAAUGUGCAAGUACAUUUUCAACCACCAUGGAACGGGAUUGAUAACAAAACUGUCCAGAAGAAACCAGAUUAUAAAAUAGUGUUUCAGCAAAUGAAAGUAUUUGGAGGAUUUAGGGUCGAGUCAAGUCACAAUGAGGCGUACGUUAAGUCCUGAGGGGAACGCACGUCCUUCGCUCGCCACCCUCUCUGCCCCAAAGCAAGUUGAACUCCGUCCCGCAGUGAUGAGUGAGUUAGUAACAGACAAGAACAAAGCCAACGGGCCGAGGUAUCAGUGGAAAAGAUUCAUUUGUUCAUCUUGGGCCACUCUAUUUAACCCAGCAGACUGCUAAUCAUCAUCACCAUGGAAACGUAGCUCCCCUAAACUCGUCUAAGUAGUCAUUUACCACAAGCUUUCCCUUGAUGUAGCAAAGCCAUUUUUUGCCUGAAGUUAACUUUAAGUGUUGUGACAUCUGAAAACAUAUUUUUCAAGAGUAAUUUGUCAAGCUUUAAAAAAAAUAACAGACAAAGAAGGUUGUCUCAGAGCCGUCAGAUAAUAAAACCCUUUUAUGUGUUCUAGGCAUGCGGACAAACUCUCGCAUUUCACCGUUUACGUUGGACGACUUGUGGACGUGUUGUGAACGCGAUCAUCCACCCUGUUGCUUAUCACCCCGCCAUGACAUCGCACACACGCAAACACACACCUUCCUAAAUUCACAUUUACCUUUACCUCCUCAACAGUCGCAGUAAUAAGAUCAAACUUGCUCGGUGAAACCCAACCUUUGUUUUAUUCGAUGGAGGCAUGAAAUGAGAUUCUAUUAAUACUCGCAGCCCAACUGGCUGGCUGACUCCCAACGGAGGCGGCGCUGAAAAGGUUAGGUGCGGCAAUUAUGCAGGUGGGGUUGCAGAGAAGAUGAGAGCGAGGAGGAGAUGAUUCUGCCUUGAUCACUCGUUCUGAACAAGGUGUUAUCGGCUGCAGCAGAGCGGGGGGGGGGGGGGUGAGGAGAGGAGGGGGGCUGGCUGCCAGAACGGUGUUAAUGACUCGCCUUGUUUUUUCAAGCAAGGAGUUGCCUUUUCAAAGGCAGUGGCAAUUAGAGGGGGGGGGGACUUGUUCCAUUGUGCUUCAGCUAGUGUAGCGAUUUAGUAAAGUUGUUACACACUGACCAACCAACACCGGACAGGUGAAAUACUAUCACACACUGUGACAUGACAAGAGCAGACACAGAACUGUUCUGGGAAAAAAAAAAACUCUUUCAACACAUUGCAGUGAAAACGGCUCGCGAGCAUUAAUGUUCUCGUUCAUGCGCGACGGAUGAUAUGCAAUUGCGGUACAACUGCCUGCGCGCUUACAUGGCAGCCACACGCAGGUUGAAGCACAGGUGACCCAGAUAAUUGGGACCUUUUUAAAUCCCUUGAUUCUGCCUUGCUCAAAAAGAAAGAGAAAGCAAGGAGGAAUCUCGCUCCCCAGCCUCUCUCAUUGUCUCUUUGGAUUAUCCGGUAGCGCAGCAACGCACCCACCAUUAGUUUGGUGCUGCUGCUGACCCCAGUCAUUCAUUUAAUUGGUUGUUAAUUGCUAUUCUCUCUACAAGACACAAUGUAUAUGGGGAGCUAUAUUUAGGCUCGCCCCUCGAUGGCUCUUCAUGCUAAAUUACAACUUUCAGCCAGGCGCUGAAGGGCCCCAUUGUGGCCUGUCGUUCUCCCCCUCUGUGACUGACUGGCAGGCUGGGGAAGGGUAGAGACGUCCCUCCCUCCCUCUCUUCCAUCCCUUUCACUUCUCCUUCCCUUCCCUCUCUAUAUUAGUUGCUGUACUGUGCAGUCUGACGCGUGGAUCAUUCUGUGUGUCAGGCCGUAUGUCCUCGUCCUUGUCCACAGCAGCAACUUUGCACCCGUUGCCAGGAAUGUCUGAGGACUUCAGUCAGUAUCCAUUUCUCAUCAACUUUUCUCUGGUGUGCUGAAAGAAAGGAGACUUUUUCUCUCGGUAGAUUUUAUAACGACUGUGGAAAAAAAAAGCAUUUCAUCACGUAUUGUCCUUUUGGUUUUAUUUUCUUUAUAGCUCAGUGAAUCAUUUCCACAGAAAACAUUAACGUUGGAUUCCAAAAAUGGGUUUAUUUUAUUUUUUUCUCCACCCUUGUUUGCCUCCAGUCCAGAUCACAGAGCAGACCAGCUGCAUCUGAGUCAUGUAGAAUUGCAACACACACACACACACACACACACACACACACACACACACACACACACACACACACACACACACACACACACACACACACACACGUACAGAGACAUGUUUUUGACACAAAUGUGAGUUUGAUGGAUGACACUGGCCAACUGCUGACGUCAUCUGGUGGAAAUCCCGGAUUACUCAGUCCCACCCACCUCCCUCUCAUCUGUCCAUAUCUCAUCUUUCAAUCUCUCUGUCUCGCUCUCUGCCUGUGUGGUUUUCUCAACUAUAGUCCCGUUUUUUGACAAAGAAGGAAGAGGAGAGAUAUGGGGAAGUGGGAAGGAAGGUGCUCGGGGGGGUAUUUCUGAUUUAUGGCUUUGACUUUUCAUUGGUAAUAUCCUGAUUAUCUGAGGAGCCGGGUGGGAGGACGGUGGGGAGGAGGGAUGGCGGCCCCUUGUUGGUGAGAGGCCUGAGCAGCUUAAUAAUGGGUACAUGCCAACAGCGACGGGGGGACAAAAGGCAACAAACACGCUGCCCUCUCAAAUUGCGAUGGGGAAACGCCGGAGCAGGAUAAUGUCUGCUUUAAUCCUAAAACAGUGUCUUUGACUUUACAUCCUAAUCACUUUUUUACUGAAGGUGAUAAGACUUUAAAUGAAUAUGCACUUGUAUUGAAUUCCUUUGCAUUUGCUUCCUAGGAGGUGAAUCCAGUGAGAGGGACAGGGAUGAGAUAAUUAGUGUAAUGAUGACUGCUUAUUGUUACAAGUCGUCCCACAGACACAGGUGUGUCAUUGGUGAAACACAGAUUUGUAGAAUGAAAGAAGAAGUGAAAGUAGUCACUAGUUCCUCUAAAUGAAUAAUUCAAGCAACAGAACAAAAUGUAUCAUUUGAGCGAUCAUGCUUUUGUGUGAAAUGCGACAGAUGAUGUCUCUUUCAUAAAACCAUUUUCACUGAAUAAAACCACUUUGUGUUUCAACCAUUUGCUCACUUUCUCUCUCUCUCUCCCUGACACAGUGACACACACACACACACACACACACACACACACACACACACACACACACACACACACACACACACACACACACACACACACACACACACACACACACACACACACACACACAGACAAAGGUAAGCUCAGCCCUGGGAAUAACACUCUCAUCAUCGCGGCAAUGGUCCUAAUAAUCAUCACUAGAUGUGCUGUUGUUAUCAGAUCUGCGGCGGCACACUGCUUUAACGAAAUGCGCCGUGAACCCUGCUCACAAUAAUUGGUACAGUUGUGCGGGCGCGUUAGCCGGGAGUGCAUCCCUAGUUUUCACACGGUGCUAUUAUCCCAGCACAUAAUACCUUGCUGAUUAUCCAUUCAAUGAAGGCGUAUCUAUCGUAACUGUUAUGGUAAUAGCGUGUGCCACUGUGAUAAUCCACACGGCCGUUGCUCUCCCUCUGUCAGAUGCUAAUGAUGAUGGUGGGUGGUCAUGCACACAAACAGCAAUGGUUGAUGAGAAGCCUCUCCUCGUUCAGCGACGAGCCAAUUGAACGGCACGCCGUUGUGUAGGUCCGUUUGACCCCCGACGGGCCACAGGUUGGGGACAUCGGCGCAUCAGAUUUCACAUGUGUGGAUUCUGCACAUUUUUGGGGCGAUUGACUAACUAAAAGUCACCUGUUUACCCUACGACCUGUUAAUGUGUUGCCAUGACAACAGCUAAGGACCCAGCGUCGUUCUUUUUCUCACUUGCUCCUCAAUCUUGUGCUCUGCUGAUGAGGCUCUUGCUCUGGCUCUCCUUCUCACGACAUACAAAAGCACACGCACACACACACACACACACACACACACACACACACACACACACACACACACACACACACACACACACACACACACACACACACACACACACAGAUGUCUCUCCACUGAGUCCCUCCAUCUGAACUUGCUGAGGUAAGAAGAUCAGGUUUUCCAGUCAGUGGAGCGAGAGCGGUCUCAUCUCUUCCCCAUGGUCCACCCGGCAGCACCUGUGUGUGUAUUUGUGUCCGCCAUGCUGUGAGUGUGUUUAUGUGUCUGUGUGACAUUUUGAGUCCAGAGUGGAUGAGGCUAAAACGCACAGGUGCAUUUCACCUGUCUAUAAAUCGCUGGUCUGUGUGUGUGUGUGUGUGUGUGUGUGUGUGUGUGUGGGUGUGGAAGGUAUACUUCAUGAGGUAAAGUUCUUGGCGGGUGGAUCACCAGUAAGGAGGAUUUUCAUCCAAGUAGCUGCAAACAAAAGGACAGCGAGGUUAAUUAAAUACUCGACUUCAGGUGGGAAAUACUCAGUUUUAGUGGAGUGGUGAAGAAGUGGACGUUACCUCUCAUCAAAGUGUGUUUAGUCCUCAUCCUUCCUGCCUGCUUCAGCUCUUCACUCCGUUUCCCCUUUUUAUCACUUUGUUUCUCUCUUUCACACCUCGCGUCCCCCGGUGGUUGACACGGGCCUCUGUAAUGUCUCUGACUUCGUCUUCCCCGCUGUGUCUCUCAGCUCCGUUUGGGUCAAAUCUCUAACCUGAAACAAAGUGACGGAGCACAUUCACACCUUUUUUCAUAUCUUUUCUUUCCCUCCUUUCCUGCGUCGCCGCCGUCUCUUCUCUUCUAGUCAGGGGUUUUCUUCUUACAGUCGUUGUCAGUCCGUAGUUGCACUUGAGUAUCUGUAUUUUGUUGAUAUGUCACGUUUCAUCUCCUCCUUCUGGGCUCUGCUCGGGUGUUUGUUGCUCCCUUUGACUCUGGCAGACUCAUUAUCUUUGUAGAACAGCAGCGUGCGUUCGUCAGCAGUGAUUAGCAGCGUUUCAUUCCAACAUCGUUAAGGAAAGACAGUUUGAUAUUUGACAAAUGACGAUACGACGUUCUCUAAUCUUCUGCCGCAAAAACUGUGUCGUGGUAGAUUGAGGCUUCGGUUAAGUUUUCCAUAACAUUAAAGCUUGCAUUGAUCAUAAUCCAAUUAAUGAAGAAACAGAGAAACAGACAAAAAAGGGACAGGGGGAAAAGAAAGAAACGCUUGCCUCAUUAAGUAGAAAGAAAUCAACUGUAAUCAAAUUGAGUUCUCAGAACUGAUGAAGUGUACACAUUUAAAGAUCUAAUGAAAAUUCUUGCAGUUAACAUAAUUAAUUCGCAGCCCUUUUGAUAAGUGGUAAUGACUUUGAGAUUAUUGGUUUGAAUGAAUAGUUGUGUUGUACUGCCUCAGCGGAAGAGAGAAGUUGAUGGGGGGAGGGAGGGGGGGGGCAGUGGGAAGGAAACGCUAUCCUCCUUUCAAAGUUCCCGAGGAGAUAAAGGAAUAUUUUUUUUAAACACAAUAAGACAAUUAGACUCCUCUAUAAACUAAUUACUGCUGCCGUAAUUCCAUUUCAGAUUAAACUGCAAUUGUAACAGGUCGACGUCUCAAAGAAGAUGUUUGUAAGCAGGGAGCAAAGACACAUUUGUAAUUCCAGGUGGAAAAUAUUUUCUCAUUAAACACAUAUUUGCACAGGAUAUAAAGGUGCAGACAUCCACUCUGAUGACUCUUGAACGUCUCUCGUUCUUCUCUCUCCCUUCGGAUGGUGAUGAAUUAGAGGAGAUGCUGCUUUUCAUUGCCUCCAGGAACAGACUAGCAGUCUGCUAACAGGAGGUGAGCCGCAUCUCUGACAAGAUAUUAAGACACAAUGUGAUGAGUGAGGAUUGUUUUGCUCUGAGGCUAAAAAGUGGGACACUUAACUUACCGAAAAGAAACUUUUCUUUUAUUCUGCAAUGUUAUCAUUAUGAGAAAGCGGUGGUAAUGUUAUUAUUGCUCACAUCCACCGCAGGCUUCUUCCCAUGCUGUCAGCUAAUGUUGAUGAUGCCCUCCCCUCGGUCGCCGCUCCACACACAAACAGCAUCGCCUCUGAUGGACUCAAAACAACUAGUUUCAGCACGGCUGACUCUCUCUUAUCAUAAUUUGAUUAUUUUAAUGAUCUUGUUACUAAACCUCAGACUCGCAUACACCCGGAGGGAAGCCAUGGUUGAACGCAUUGUAUGAAUCUCACAUGAGGCUCGGAAAAAAUGUCCAAGGGUGAGUAUAUACAGUGGUGUGUCUAGCCGUGUGUGAGUGUGUGUGUGUGUGUGUGUCUUAAUGCAUGCAUGCAUGCAAAUGUGCCUGUGUGUUAGUGUGUCACUUUGCACAGACAGACAGACAGACAAACCCAGUAGCACCGACCGAAGCCACUCCGCCUGCCACAGAGAGUAAGGUUAUGGAAAACUAUUCGCAUAAAACAUCCCGGCGCAUUAUCAGUCAAACACUGGAGCCAGAGGGGGUUUGAUUGUGGGGUUUCAUCAUCGCUUAUUGAAUUAUCUGGAUUAAUUUAACGUAUUUAGGCCUGUGUGUUUUCCCCAGCUCGCAACUCUCCCGUCUCUUUGUUAGCGAUAAUUACACUAAGUGGGUCAUCUCCGUCACAGCUCCCUCUCUUUUCUCUCUCCUUACGUAGUAUUUGCAUUUUCAACUUCUUAAACAAAGUUUGGCAAAAAAAAUAAUCUAAAAGAUAUAAAGGUUGUGAUUCACUCCCAAGCCUUGAAAAGCAGGCAGUUGACUCAGAGCGUGGAGGAGUGGAGUGAGACAAUAGAUGGGUUAAACUAAACAUUAUUUUACUUUCUCACGCAUUCAAGCUGUGAGUCACAUACAAUUGUGUGUGUGCCCCUGCUGUUUUAAAAUGAGUGAACUAUCAACUAUCCAUCCAUCCAUCUUCAACCGCUUAUCCGGGGUCGGGUCGCGGGGGGCAACAGUUCCAGCAGGGGACCCCAAACUUCCCUUUCCUAACUAUCAACUUCUAAUACUACUAAAACUACUAAUACUAAAUUUGAACUAUUGGGAAAAUUCAAAUAAGGUUCGGAGUGAGUGGACAGAAGGUCUGUGACCUCUUGAACUGGGACACGGUUUCCUGUGUGAAACAGAUCAGUUUCGAUAAUUUGAUCAGUUCAGGAUCAGGACAGGAACUCGUUUUGCAAAGCGUAUUUGUUUAGGUGUUAACAAAGUGUUCUUUUCCAUCUCCUACAAUCAUGGAUAACAUCUCUCUCUGUGAUGUGGGAGUGACCAGUGGGAGCUGACUCAGCUGACCAGCAGUUUCAACUGCUUGCAAGCAUUUCAUAAAUGUUCACUGAUUUCACACCGUUGUCUUUUUCUAUUUUUUUCUAACAGGAACAUAUUGUCAUGCCGGUAGCAGUUUCAGAAAGACCGAUUAUGUGAAAAAUGACGACAUUUCAUUCCAAUGGCACUACAAUACAGUGCAAGCAUGUUCCUAAAACUAUUUAUGCAACUGUUCGAAGAUGAGAGGAAUCAAAAGGUUGCCACGGUAACAGCAGACUCAUCUCAAAUCUAGCAGGUUUGUGUGGCUUUCACUGAUUAUGAGAGCAAAGACUUUUGCCUUAGAUUGACCCAGUCUGGAAACAGCUCAACAAGCCAAAAAUACAACUCUUCACACAAUGUUGCGUCCAAAACACACAAAACGACAGAGGUGAGCUCGAGAGAACGAAACACACGGACACAAAAGACAAAUGAAGGUUUGGUGCACAGCCUCUCCAGGAUUUCUGUCACUGCCCACAGCAGCUUGAGCUAUUGCUGAGAAACCUAACAGAAACGCAUGGCUGUUAAGUCAUUAGGCAGCUCAUUAACACAUUGUUGUGUCUAACUGAUCAUGAAUGUUCUAUAAAGCCGUGAACCUCAGGGAUGCGCGGCACCACCGGCAGACUCUCACGGGUGCCGGCUAAUGAAUCGACUAGUUGACGUUGUGCAGCACUGUUGUGUGACCUCAGAAAAAAGCAAACCUGAACAGAAGAAGUGUAGCAGACUGCUAGUUCAUUUAGAUCUGAUUAGAGCGAUAAGUAACCGGGACAAAAGUAAAAGUGGAGAAACAUGAGCAAAUAAGGGACAUGCGCUGCGGCUGAAGUAAAACAUAUUCAGCUACUGGAACAACUUUUUAGAGGAAUCCUGAUAUCAGAUGGGCUAAAGGAGAAAAAGGCUCCUGUCUCAAUGUUCUGACCCCUCUCCCUUUUUACAUUUCCUUUCCACAUCUAAAUACUGACCAUGAAAGGACCACUGGGGCUGAAACAUAGCAUCACUUUUCAUACUGUUUCAUACUGUUUUGUUGAAAGUAGCUUUCCACCAGCCAAAAUAAAAAUUUCUAAGUAUGACCGACGCUGUUUAUAAAUCAAGAAAAGGUGGAAAAACCUUUUGCUAUAUAAUCUUUUUUAACUCAGUUUUCAGAGCCUGAAUUGUGUUAUGUUAUCAAAAGGACUGAAGGCGUUCCUUUUUUCUUCCAAGGGGACCUUUAUUUUCUCCAUUCAUGCUAAACACGAGUUACAUGUUUUGUGUGUCAGCAUGUUAAAACACAUCUGGAAUGCUUUUAGUGGUAUAGAACAUGGGCUGGAUGUUCGUUUCAGUCUCAAAAGUGGCGUAAAAGAGAGAAACAAAAUGAUAAAAAGGGGGAAACGGAGUGAAGAGGAGAAGCAGGCAAGAAGGAUGAGAACUAAACACACCUUUGGUCUUGGGGCUGAACUUACUCUGGUUAUAAACGCAGGGGGAUAAAAAACAAUCCGACUUAGGAUAUGGACCAGUAAAAAAAUGUUUUCUCACUUGGCUCCAAGGGAUUCGGUAAUUUUCUCUUGUAUCAGAUAAAAAAAAAACCUCAGAAUGUAGGAUCCACAUGCUCAAAGCACAAACUCUCUACGAGUUAAAGGAUGGCAUCAAGAAACGUAUCACUGCAUCACUUUCCCGACAUUUGCCUCAUUCUAUUUCGGUGCUUGCUUCUUUCACUGCGAGCGCUCUGCUAUCUCCCCCUGUCAUUUUGUGUCUCACCUGUGAAUAAUUCAUGAGAAGCGGCACAUACGAUUACACUGGUUAAAAAGUAAUAAGGCACCGCCACAAUAAAGGAUUGUCUUGCAUUGUUUUACUACGUGUCUCUCGCACACUUACGUCGUUCUCGGUCCCAAGUUUACAAAUGCAAAACAUUCGUCGCCCCUGACGGAGCGAAGGAUUAGGAGAGAGAAAACAAGAAAGCGAAACCAAGACCUGUGGAGCAGGUGGUUAGAAAACAAGCGCCACAGAAGCCCCCCCACCCCUCCCCACCUCCCUGCCAGCACAGCAGAGCUAUCUAACCCAGGCUAGGAGCUGUCACUUGGAGCUUUUCAUGUCUGAGCUUGGGAAAGAUCUGUAGACUCCCCGUCUGAGCUGGGAGCCCUUUGAUAAUCGACGGAUCUUACAGUGGUGCUUUGUAGCGACAGCGACCGUUCACGGCCCAAUCACACUGCGCCGCCGUCUCCCCUUGUUUGUUCCCGGGAUCGCGCGGGCUAUUUCCUGUUUGACUUAAAGCGAAGCUGCGUGGUUCACGAGCAUGUCAGCGAGGAGAUACGUCGGCAUUACAAAGCUCCCCCUUUUUCAAUUAUCGGGACAAUAUCAGCAUUGUUUUCUGUGCAGUUGGAGCAGAUGUUCAAGGCUGACACACUUUUACACAAACCAUAUUUACACUAAAACAUGUUUUGACUUUGUGCAAUGAAGAAGUUUAAAGGUUUGCUAUCAAAGAAGCAUUGAUAUUCCAUUAGCCACCAGCUAUCCCUGUCGAAGGUUGGACACGCAACAGAAGUACUGAUUGAUCUGAAAGUGAUACUGAGCCCUAAAUAUCUGAUUAAUUAACUGAAUAACUAAUACAUUUCAGGUCUUCAAAGCAAUACACGUGGCUGAAAUGUAAACGCGGUCUCUUUGCAGGUGGUGGUUGUCAUCAUAUCGAUGGGGAUCAGCAGCUGUGCUAUGAACUUCUCAAAUGACACUAAUUGCACCCAUUUCCUCUUCAUGAACAAUUGUCUUGAAAACCAUUCAAACUGUUUCUGCACCUCAAUCCAUUGUGUCAGUUUCUAUCUUUAAAGCUGUUGUGUUAUUGUGUUAUUGUGUUCUUAAACUGAUUUCUAAAAUGUCUCUGAAAUACAGAAAAACGCACAACUGUUUAUCAUUAUUUUGCAUAUUCUGGGCAUUCAAAUGGGCAGAUGUGGAUUAUGCUACAGCAGGAAAUGUUUCUAUGGUGUACUUGAUUCCCUUUUCAACUGUUAAACUGAGAAAAUACACAAAAUAAAUGUCAAGCCAACAGAUGACGCAUUUUGGGUUGAGUAUCUCUUUAAUAACCUAAUAAUUAUUGGGUAAAUUAAAAGUUGUGUGGACAAAAAAUUGAUGAAAAAUGUGUCAGAAAUGGCCCCCAUCAGGUAUUUUCCUCUGCGAUUCUAUUUCUGUCUCUCAAAUACAUAAUUCAGUGGCUGUGAAUCUAAUUAAGUAUUGAACAUGCACAGAUGGUGCUCUUGACCUUCGAGCCGUGCGUAGUAUGUACAUGCUGCAACAACUGACACACGUGUUUCUGAUUGCACGUGAACACACCGCUUUUAGGUGUCUAUGUGUUACUCUGCCUGAACAACUGCAUUCCCGUUAGAAGGCGAGGAGAACAGUAUGAGCUGUACGCUGACAGAUGAAGAGAACCUUUUAAUUUGUCGUCCCUCUCAGUUAGAUUGAACCAGUUAAUAAGCCAUCAUGCUGGAGACAUGGUGACAUUUCCACUACCUUCCCACUGCUGCAGAGUUGUCGUAGCCGGAGAAAGACAGAACACGAAUGGAGGAAAUGGAAUAGAUGAUUCAAUAGAACGAUUGAAUGGGAGAUAUUUAACAGUCUAUGUAGAGGAGGCACACUGCGUUCACAGCAAACUCAAGCUCCCUCAAGGUUGUUUUGAUAUUUCUGUGCCACCGAGCCAGAUGCUUUUGUAUACUACAGUUAUAUGAAUUUCUAAGUACACUUUAUUGAGAAUGUGCUGGCAUCUCUUGGUGUGUUUGUUGACGAUUUACAGCGUUUGCGUGCGGCAGCGUUAUCGUUGGAUAUCACCAUUAUUUAAUAUGGUCGGAUGGCUCUGAAUGCACAGACAAUGUCGGGACGGUCGAAGUGAAACUUAAUGUUGUGAAUUGAAAAUAAUCAAACUACAACACAUCAGCUCUCAGAACUCAGCUGCCUGAUCUCAGCACCUGAGGUCUUGAAAAGCUGUAUCUCCCCAUACAGCAACAAAUCCAGUACAUUAUACAAAGCCCUUAACAACCAAGGAGCCCAACACACUCCCACCUGAAACUUCAGAUCCACCAACGCAAACCUCCUUACCCCACCCACCACCACCACCACCACGAGUCUGUCCGGACACCGCAGCCAAUCAGCGUGAGCUCGGCCCUCCCUACACGCUCACUAUUGCUCCACACUUGCGAGAAAAGUUCAGACCAUCCAUCCAAGCCAGGUGCUGGAAAUCCUCAGGUGCCGCAUAAAAACCCAUUGCAUUUUUUCACACAGAGGUCCCUUAAGAUAGUGCACCAGACUGCACACGUAUAUGCAUCCUUUUUAUGUUAAAAUGUUGAGAACAUUUAAAAGAUGCAUCAAGCUUUCAUUUUUCCAUGCUGUUAAAUCUU